GAGAUAUAAGAACUCGUCUCUUAACUUUUAAGUAAAAAAACUAAGAACUAGUUCUUAAAUAAGGUAUUUAAGAGCCGGUUCUUAGUUUUUUUAAUUAAAAAUUAAGAGACGAGUUCUUAUAUUCC
rfam:Brassica napus, WGS project CCCW01000000 data, contig: 2023